UACGUAGGGUGCGAGCGUAAUCGGAAUUACUGGGCGUAAAGGGUGCGUAGGCGGCUUUGUAAGUCAGUGGUGAAAUAUGGCAGCUCAACUGUCAGGGUGCCAUUGAUACUGCAGAGCUUGAGUACAGAUGAGGUAGGCGGAAUUGACGGUGUAGCGGUGAAAUGCUUAGAUAUCGUCAAGAACACCGAUAGCGAAGGCAGCUUACUGGGCUGUAACUGACGCUGAGGCACGAAAGUGUGGGGAUCAAACAGG
rnacentral:rRNA from 1 species